UGGGGAAUUUUGGACAAUGGGCGAAAGCCUGAUCCAGCAAUGCCGCGUGUGUGAAGAAGGCCUUCGGGUUGUAAAGCACUUUUGUCCGGAAAGAAAUCCUUGGCUCUAAUACAGUCGGGGGAUGACGGUACCGGAAGAAUAAGCACCGGCUAACUACGUGCCAGCAGCCGCGGUAAUACGUAGGGUGCAAGCGUUAAUCGGAAUUACUGGGCGUAAAGCGUGCGCAGGCGGUUUGCUAAGACCGAUGUGAAAUCCCCGGGCUCAACCUGGGAACUGCAUUGGUGACUGGCAGGCUAGAGUAUGGCAGAGGGGGGUAGAAUUCCACGUGUAGCAGUGAAAUGCGUAGAGAUGUGGAGGAAUACCGAUGGCGAAGGCAGCCCCCUGGGCCAAUACUGACGCUCAUGCACGAAAGCGUGAGGAGCAAACAGGAUUAGAUACCCUGGUAGUCCACGCCCUAAACGAUGUCAACUAGUUGUUGGGGAUUCAUUUUCCUUAGUAACGUAGCUAACGCGUGAAGUUGACCGCCUGGGGAGUACGGUCGCAAGAUUAAAACUCAAAGGAAUUGACGGGGUCAUAGCUGUUUCCU
rnacentral:rRNA from 1 species